rnacentral:rRNA from 1 species
UACGAAGGGGGGCGAGCGUUGUUCGGAUUUACUGGGCGGUAAAGGGCGCGCAGGCGGCUCAUUUUGUCAGGCGUGAAAGCCCCGGGCUUAACCUGGGAACUGCGUUUGAUACGGAUGGGCUAGAGUUCGGGAGAGGAGAGUGGAAUUCCCAGUGUAGAGGUGAAAUUCGUAGAUAUUGGGAAGAACACCGGUGGCGAAGGCGGCUCUCUGGACCGAGACUGACGCUGAGACGGCGAAAGCGU